AUACAUACCUGGCAGGGGAGAUACCAUGAUCAUGAAGGUGGUUUUCCCAGGGCGAGGCUUAUCCAUUGCACUCUGGAUGUGCUGACCCCUGCAAUUUCCCCAAAUGUGGGAAACCCGACUGCAUAAUUUGUGGUAGCGGGGGACUGCAUUCGCACUUUCCCCUG
rnacentral:snRNA from 1 species